rnacentral:rRNA from 1 species
UUGCCUACGGGAGGCAGCAGUGGGGAAUUUUGGACAAUGGGCGCAAGCCUGAUCCAGCUAUUCCGCGUGUGGGAAGACGGCCUUCGGGUUGUAAACCACUUUUGUAGAGGACGAAAAGUCUGUUGAUAAUACCGAUAGACGAUGACGGUACUCUAAGAAUAAGCACCGGCUAACUACGUGCCAGCAGCCGCGGUAAUACGUAUGGCGCGAGCGUUAAUCGGAAUUACUGGGCG